rnacentral:rRNA from 1 species
AGUAACGCGUGAGGAACCUGCCUCAAAGAGGGGGACAACAGUUGGAAACGACUGCUAAUACCGCAUGACAUCCCGGGGCCGCAUGGUCCUGGGAUCAAAGGAGCAAUCCGCUGAGAGAUGGACUCGCGUCCGAUUAGCUAGUUGGUGAGAUAAAGGCCCACCAAGGCGACGAUCGGUAGCCGGACUGAGAGGUUGAACGGCCACAUUGGGACUGAGACACGGCCCAGACUCCUACGGGAGGCAGCAUG